rnacentral:lncRNA from 1 species
CUAAUUUCACUUCUAAAUCUGGUUAGAUGGCAAAUAAGCCCUUAAUAAAAUCAACCCACAUUAUCUUUUACCGUAAUGGUAGUCCAGUGAUUGCGGCUUGGUGUUUACCCACGUCAGUCCUAGAUUUGAUUUUGCUUGGAAACUAAAUUAUCAUCACUUGGCUAGUCUGGGUUUGGACUUCGCCCCAAGUGGUUUAUAUGGUGGAUCGUAACAUAUGAUCGGUUCAACCCCUGAUAUUAUUCGGAUGGUAUUCCAAACUCGAACCAAACAGUGUGGUAGCCAUUCCACUCUGUAGCACUAAAUGCAUUUAUCCCGGAUCAGCCGAUAGGAUAUUAGGAUUUAUAAUUAAAAAAAAAACAUUUUGCACCAAAAAACAAAAGAAAAAAAAUUAUAAUGCACAAUGCUUCACCUUGUUGCGCGAACUCCUUGUCUACUAUUUUUUUCUCCUUUGCUACAAUGAAAUGCCUGAAACUAUAUAACCCGCACACAACUCAGAAAUGAAUAAUCUUAAUCUUUUCUUUAAGAAAAAAUAAUAAUCUUAAUCUUGGUUAAUAAAUACUUUUGAAUAGUAAUACCUUGUUAGCUAUAAACUUUUGACGACAACUUUUUGUAUAAAAUGUAGCUAUUUAGCUAUAAAAUGUCUAUAAACCCCCAUCCG